rnacentral:lncRNA from 1 species
UUUUUUUUUUUUUUUUUUUUGGCUUUGUCUUUUCAGGGCCACACCCACUGCGUAUGGAGGUUCCCAGGCUACCGGGAGAAUCGGAGAUUUGGCCUACACCACAGCCACAGCAACAUGGGAUCCGAGCCACAUCUGCAACAUACACUGCAGCUCAUGGCAACGCUGGACGCUUAACCCACUGAGAAAAGUCAGGGAUCGAACCUGCAUCCUCAAGGAUGCUAGUCAGAUUCAUUUCCACUGAGCCACGACAGGAACUUCGAGGCCAGCUAUUGUUAUGGAUGUAGGGAACCCCUCUGCUUUGCCUCCUAAAGGUCUGUGUCUUUGUCUUUCUGGCUUCCCUAGGAGAAAUUUGACAUUAAAAUAUAAGGAUCUUCUAAAAAAAAUAUUCAUUUCAUUUUCAUUUCUUAACUCAAAUUGGAAAAUUCUUUGAAAUCUUGUCUCUGAAAAAGAGAUGUACCCUUAGAUUUUUAAGACUACUCAAGUUAACAAAAUCCAACAAUGAUACCAGAAGGCCUCCAUUGUGCAUGUGUUUAACUUCUGAAAUGCAUAUAAAAAACAUUAAUCUUCCACAUUUAAGUGGAACAAUAGUGACAUAAGGACAAUCCUGAAGAAUGACUCCUUCAACACUUUGUAAUUCUCAUAAACAACCUUUUCUUAGGAAAGCCAUAAAAAGAGUCAGUUUUUCCUGAGUCGGAGCAAUUUUAUCUAACUAAUAGCACCCUCUGGACUUUUAAAAAAUCAACAUUUUCUGUGACAAAUCAAAUUUGGACGUGCCUCAUAAAGAAGCUCCCAAGGGGACAUUCAUGCUUAUUUUCUUCCUUAAGAGCUAGAGCAAAGGUUAGCAAAUCAUGGCCUGAGGGCCACAUUUGGCCCUCUGACUGGUUUUAUAAAUAAAGUUUUAUUGGAACACAGACACAGUCUUGUUGGCAUAUUGCCUAUGGCUAUUUUCAAGCAUAGGGACAGAGUUGAGUAAUUCUAAAGUAACCACCUGGCCCCACAAAGCCUAAAAUAUUUGCUCUCAGGCCCUUUACAAAAGAAAACUUGCUCUCUCCUGAUCUGAAGGAAUCUGCAUCACUCCUUUAGACGGAAAGUCAGGAUACUUAGAUUUUUGACUCCAUUCCGCCAGUAAACUGCUAUUUGACCUUGGGGCAAGUAAUCACUUCUCUCAGGGUUAACUUCUUAUUUAUAAAAGGAGGUUCAGCCCAGGCGAUCAUUUAUUCUUCUAAAUGUCUGUGCUCCAAGGGGUUAAGAUAUUUCCUCAUAAUAUGAUAGUUUAAAGAAAUCCAAAUUAAUUUGAAAACAAGCCUUUCUCCCAAACCCAUGUUUACUGUGAAAGGUUUCACAUCAUUUCCAGCAUUUAACAACCCAGUGAUACCCCCUUGCUACCGUAUCAUGGACACGCCAGAAAGCUGCAGAUUAGAGCUGGAAAGAGAAUGUAAACAGCAGUAAAAUCUGUUUUAGACAAGGCAGCACAUCUGGCCCACACUCUCCUAGAACAGAUGCACUGCAUUGCUUGUGCCAGAGAUGAAUGUUCUUUUCUGUCAUGGUUUUGGGAGGUGAGCGCCCUUUCUCUGCCACAGCUCUGGGAUCUGAAGGGAAACAGCGGGAGUCUCCACACAAAAAAAGCCCUUUGAAUUGAUGGCAAAAGCAAAACUCCUUUGUUUCAUGAGGAAUGGGGCUGUGUACUGUCAGAACGUGGGUGCUAUGGGCACCUUCUACUUUAAGCCCUUUCUCUCUGGACACAUGACACAAGGCUAGAAAAGUAACAAAAUGAUGGUAGAGCAAAAAUAGUCUCCUUUCUUCCAAACUCUCCCCAACAACCAAAGAAUCUUUUGCAAUUGCUUUUUUGACAGAGUAAAAUACUUCAGAUACUACAUUACCCUAAAACCAAAGACCCCGAAAGUGCUUUAAACAGAGGGCAGAAAAUACAAUUGAUCUCAAUGCUAAUGACUAUGAUUUUAAAACCAGCAAGCCUGUUAUCUUUAAAAUAAACAUUUUUCUGGAGUUCCUGUCGUGGCGCAGUGGUUAUAGAAUUUUUAAAUUACAUAUGUAUUUUGGUUAAAUUAUACAGUAUUUCUGUUGGAUAGUGCCACUCUAUUCUCCACUGUUACUAUGAGGGAACUACCCUGUUCUUAGCUAAGACCAAGCCACUCCCUCCCUGGGCAUUGAACUCUUCUCUUCUCUCCCACUCAAGACCUUCACUCCAGCAAGUCUCACUGCUGUUCCCCUUCACCAACUUCCCCCUUAGGAUUGGAUCAUUCCCGUGUGCAUACAAACAUGCUGCUAUAGCUCCUAUUAAAAACAAAACAAAACCCAAAAACCUCUUGAUCCAGUUACCACCUCAUCUAUUUAUAGUAGCAUACCUCAAAAAUGUUGUCUAUACUCACUGUCUCCAAUUAUUCUCUUAUGAAUCCACUUCCAUUCCCACUCACUCCACCAAAAUGGCUCCUGCCAUGGAAGGGUGCAUACAAGCUGGCUGGAACCAACUGUUAAAUGUUUAAGAACUUUGCAAACUUCCUCUUAAACUAUUGGUAGCUUGAAAUUGGCUAUGAUGGAAGUAUUUAUAACAUGGAGAUUGGUCCACACUGCAAAUCAGAAGAGCUAGUCUACCAGCACAGCAGUGAUUGAAAGUUACCAAUGGCCUUCACCAAAUUUUAUACUCAAUCAUCAGUCUUCAGCCUACCUAAUUUAUUGGUAGCAUUUGGCAUGGACAAACACUCUUUCCUUCACUUUUUUCUCCAUUCCCUUGUGGGGGCAUCGAUUUCUCCUAUGUCUUCUUCUUCACUGGACACUCUUCUUGUUUCCUUUGCUGGUUCCACUUCAGCUCUCUGACCUCCAAGUACUGGAGAAUCUUACAUUCAAUCUAAACACCUCUUCUUUUCUUCACCUACACUUCUCUGGUGUUUUUAGCCUUGUGGCCAUAAAUACCCAAAUGUGUACCUGCAGGGCCAGACCUCACUCCUGAAUUCCAGCUGACCUAUCCCUUGCCUAUGUGGUAUCAUCCCCUGGUUGUCAAACAGGCAUGUCAAACUUAACAGGUCAAAAUAAAAUUUUGAAUUCUCCUCACCCACUUUCUUCCCCUGUUUCCAAACAUGAUGUUCUAAUAAUAUUCCCCAGCUCAAUAAAUGGCAAUUCUAGUUAUACAGGCCACACAUUUUGAAUUAUCCUUGGUUUUGCUCUUUCUCUGAUAGCCCACAUCCAAAGCACUGGCACUCCUAUUGGCUCUAUCUUUAAAACAUAUCCUAUCUUACUUAGAAUAAAAGCAAAUCUUUCUAAUGGUCUACGAAGCCCUACAAAGCAUUCCCACUACUUCUCUGAUCUCAUCUCCCACCAAGUUCCUUUAGCUUACUCUGAACCAGCUGGAACAUCUUAGUCAACAAAGAUGCUCCUGGCUCAGAGCCUUUGUACUUGCUAUUCUCUCUCCCAGAUGGUCACAUGGCUCACGCCCUGACUUCAUCCUGCAGGACUAUCCUAUUUGAAAUAAAUCCCUUCUGUGGCACUUAUCACCCUAUGACACACUAUUUCGUCACCUGUUGGUGUGUUUAUCUUCAGCCUAGCCUCAGCAGGUGUAUUAUUUGUUUUUAAUUGCUGUACACCUAAUAUCUGUCAGAGUGCUUGGCACAUAUUGAAAGCUCGGUCAAUGUUUGUUGAAUGAAUGAAAAAACUGAUAUCGUAUUGACAGCUUUGGAUCACGAAGAAAGCUCCUAUCAUUGUCUGUGAGGCAUUAAGUGAUGGACACAUCUUAAAUGGCAUGGUAUUUGAUUUUUCUACCAGUCUAUAUUUGUGUACAGACUCAGUAGUGAGGGAGGCUUUUCGGCCUGACAAAACAAUCAAAUCCGACUUACUUUGGAAUUAAUGGUGAUGAUGACAAUACAAACUCUUUUCUUUAAUACUGUCUUUUUAAAAGGGGGUUCUCAAGGAUGUCUCCAUCUGAAAGUUCUCUCAAUUUUGUACUGGGGGCACAUGCAGGAAUUCUGAUGGAAACAACUGGAGUUAUCCUCUAGGACCGUGGCCCUGGUUGAUUUGUGGAGAGGUGAAACGAGGUGAAGGGAGCGUAGGGGACAAUGAAACAUGCCAAAGGUUCUAACAAUAAAGUAAUCUUUAAAAGAAGACAUAUACACAACAAAUGGUGAUUUUCACCUCCUAAAUCCCUCUUUCUCUUCUGCCCAGAAAACCAAGGUUGAAAUUGCACAAUGAAAACCGUAUCUCCCCAACUCCUAUGUCUCUUCAGUAGACUAAAGGUGGCACGGGACAGAUAGGAAGCAAUCCUUUCACCCCAUCAUCUCUGGGAUUUUCACAGGGAGAUGUUUCUGGUAUCUCUCUACCUAGAAAUCAGAACACACACCAUGACAUAGACAGUUCUCAGCAAUGUAUAGCACUAUUUUUUUUCAAGAUACUUAGAUAAUUAAAUAGAUGGGCCUAACUUUUAAUGAUCAUUUAUAAUAUUUUUUUUUUGUCUUUUUGCUAUUUCUUGGACCACUCCCGUGGCAUAUGGAGGUUCCCAGGCUAGGGGUCUAAUCGGAGCUGUAGCCACUGGCCUACGCCAGAGUCACAGCAACGCGGGAUCCGAGCCGCGUCUGCAACCUACACCACAGCUCACGGCAACGCCAGAUAGGUAACCCACUGAGCAAGGGCAGGGAUGGAACCCGCAACCUCAUGGUUCCUAUUUGGAUUCGUUAACCACUGCGCCACGACAGGAACUCCUAUAAUAUUAUUUUUAUGGGCUAUUAUGAGAUCUGAAUUCUUGCCCUAAAAUUGAGUUUUUGGAUUAUAAAUUGGAAAAUGCCUACACUAUUAUAUUUAUUAUUAUUAUUAUUAUUAAAUUUCUAGUCAAGUCCAAAAGCCAAGUAUACUUUAACUUUCUAUGGUGAUAGGAACAAUCAGUAGCGAUUAUCUCUCAGAUUUAUGAGGCAUUACAGGUUCCCUUCUCAGUUGAAAAUGUCAGAGAAGCAUCAGUGGAAAAAAAUAGGCCUACAAAUGAGGCCAAAACAAACCAUUUAAGCACCAGGUAGUAUAGCAAGAAGUCUCCUGGAUGUAUGGCCUGGCUAAUUUCCAUUCCAUUGUUUGUACUUUGACCCAUAAAAUUAUGUUUUUGGUGUUGGUGGGGAAUAUAUGCUUCUCUCUCAAUACAAACACACACGCGCACGCAUGCACGCGCAAUGGAUGAUGAAUGAAGUCAACCAAAAUUUAUUGAAAAUGUACUACUACACAUUGAGUUCUUUAAAUAAUGUACUAGUUAAUAGUUACCGCCUACAUAUAUAUCAAGCAUUUCACGUGUAUUAUGUCUCAUCCCCACAAAGAUGAGAGCAAACCCUUAGGGCCCUGUUCUCAGCACUUUACCUUGACUCGUUCCUUUAAGAUGCUCAGCAGUCCUAUGAGGUGGGUACUAGCACCAUCUCCAUCUUCAGCUGAGGCAGCCAAGGCACAGACCAGGGGUAUGAGAUUUGCCCAAGGCCCUAUCAGCUGCAAACAGGGAAGCUGAGAUUUAAACACAAGCAGUCUGGUUUUCAUGUUCUUAGUCAAGUGUACCUUGCUUCCCUUUUCACAGCAACCUCAAGGCAAGCACCUUCGUUACUGCCAUUUUCCAGGUGAAGAACUACAGGAAGUCCUCUGCACAAGGUUGCCCAGGUAGAAGGCAUAGGUGUGACAAGCCCAGGUGUGACACGAAAGCCUGGGUUCUUACAAACCCACACGCCCACUCUCAAAACUCCCACUCUACUCUCUUGUCUCUUCAAAUGAGUACUUAGUUCCUCAAAGUCUACUGGCGUGCCUUCGAAUUAUUUUGCAUAAUCUCCCAACCACAGAAAAACCCAAGGCUCUGCCUAUAAUAGAUGUUCAACAUGGGAAAGAAACUCAUACAAAGAGUGAUUUUGCAUCGAAGGCAAAGCAGAGAAGGAAAAAAAAAAAAAAAAAAAAAA